ensembl:lncRNA
CAUGUGUGUCUUCUUCCGGUAACUGUCAACAGGAAAUAUAUUCCUUUUUAUAACUAUGAAUCUCUUCCGACUUCAUCCUUGCUUUAGCAUUUAGGAUAAUGUUUUGGACACACUCCUUCAACUUUUCAUCAUGAAAUCAGGAGCUUCAAAUCUGCAUCAUAUCAAAUCGGUUGGACAUAAGGGGCUUCUGAUGGAGGCACUGGCCAUGAUCAUCAUGCGAGAACAUGGACCCCUUCCACGGCAUUUAUGGAAGGGGACAGGGAGAAAAUCUGGAGCCGAAGCCACAAGAGAGCAGGGGACAGAAGCUCUGCAAGACUUUCCUUACGAUCAUGAAACAAGGGUGGCUGCAUGUAUCACCUGGCACUACAAUAGCA